UACGGGGGGAGCAAGCGUUGUUCGGAUUUACUGGGCGUAAAGGGCGCGUAGGCGGCACCGCAAGUCGACUGUGAAAUCUCCGGGCUUAACCCGGAAAGGUCAGCCGAUACUGCGGGGCUAGAGUGCAGAAGGGGCAACUGGAAUUCUCGGUGUAGCGGUGAAAUGCGUAGAUAUCGAGAGGAACACCGAUGGCGAAGGCAGCCCCCUGGGCUAACACUGACGCUCAUGCACGAAAGCGUGGGGAGCAAACAGG
rnacentral:rRNA from 1 species